rnacentral:rRNA from 1 species
UACGUAGGGGGCAAGCGUUGUCCGGAAUCAUUGGGCGUAAAGAGCGUGUAGGCGGCCAGAUAAGUCCGCUGUGAAAACUCGAGGCUCAACCUCGAGAUGUCGGCGGAAACCAUCUGGCUAGAGUCCGGAAGAGGAGAGUGGAAUUCCUGGUGUAGCGGUGAAAUGCGCAGAUAUCAGGAAGAACACCCGUGGCGAAGGCGGCUCUCUGGGACGGUACUGACGCUGAGACGCGAAAGCGUGGGGAGCGAACAGG